rnacentral:lncRNA from 1 species
GCCCGGUUGAAAUAGAGUAAAACAGGAUUCACCCUUUUCAUAGAUUUUCUGAUGAUCCCGAAGGCCGGCGAGGGUGCACGAAGCCAUGGGAAAGGAGAGGAAGGAGAAGAAGAGUUUACCUCAAGCUUCAGCAGCAUCGUCGGCUCCAAUUUCCGACGAGCAUGGGUACGGGAGGCCUCGACUUCAAUUAGAGAAAAAUAAGGAGAAAGGAGAGAGAGAGACCGGUGAUCAUCAUGGGUUGUUGAGGAGGGGGAGAGGGGGUCUUAUAAAGUGGAGGGG